AUGCCUCGUCGGGGAGGAGGGAGAAAGAGGGAGCCCCGGGGCGGCCGCCUCGCAGCAGCGGGCAGCAGGGAAGGAGGGGGGGUCUCCAGGCGCGGGUCCCGCCGCCGCUGCUGCCGGCUCGCUCGAGAGGCGGAGGAGCCGCCAGCCGCUGCCUCUCCCGAGCGCUGGCUGUGGGGGACGAUCGCGCCGCGGGCCCCCUCCCCGACCCCCCCGAAAAGCCCUCUCUUAAAGGAGCCCCGCGGUCCUGCUCGUCUCAAGCCCGUCGCUGCUCCGUGGCAGGAGGAGCCAUUGACACUGCCAGAGACACACACUCACGGGGAGGCAGCUGCUAGAGGCCGUGCUCCGCCAAUCGCCGCCUCCCACACAGGCGGCUGGCAGCCGCGCGGCCAAUCCCCGCGCCUCUUGUAUGGGGCGCGGGGUGGGGAGGGGCGGGCGAGCGGCUCGGCGCGGGGUGGGGUGGCGGAGCGCGAUAUAAGGGCCGGGGAGGCGUGUGGCGGCGGCUGCGUGGGGCGGUGCGAGCGGCCAUGGUGGGGCUGGUGCUCUGCUCGGUGGGCGCCGUUGCAGCGUGAGGAGACGGCGCGGGCGCCGGACCUGAGGCGGGCGGUGGCGGGCGCGGGCUCUGUGAGGGCAGCCCGGGUGCGUGUCGCUGCCUGCCUGCACCUCAGCUGCUGCUGGGGCCUUGGUGGAGCCUUCCUGUGGGGAGCGCGGCGGGACUGGGAGCGUGAGGGACCCGAGGGCCCGCAGCCCUUUGCUGAGGCUGGAUGUGCCACGGGAGGGAAGGAGAAAUCACUCAGUAAAGUGCAUGGUAAAAUCCAACAAAUAAGGAAGAUACCUUCUCUUUGCAGGGUUGCUCAGGGAUCUGCUUUUAACACUGCAAAGGUUCGAUGCCCUAAAACAAGCUACAGAAUCGUGGUUGGUUGAUGCAGAGGCAAAAUCAUUAUGUUCUAAUCAUUUGCUAUUGAAGACAACAAAGAAAACGACUUUGGGUAAAAUAUCCAUAUCUGUAGUAGCAGAAGUCCAAGAGGUAGUUACCUCUGCUGAAGAUUUUGUGACUCUUGGUAGCAAUGACAAUUUGCGUUCAUAUCCUUGAUUGAAAUUCCACCUCCCCGUCCUUGUGCAGCGAGGAUGUGCCAGUUGCCAGCCCGGCUGCCGUCUCCUGGCCUCCUGCGCCCGAAAGGAG